GACUCGGAAAGGGAACUCCCUGACCCCUUGCGCUUCCCGAGUGAGGCAAUGCCUCGCCCUGCUUCGACUCGCGCAUGGUGCGCGCACGCACUGACCUGCGCCCACUGUCUGGCACUCCCUAGUGAGAUGAACCCGGUACCUCAGAUGGAAAUGCAGAAAUCACCAGUCUUCUGCGUCGCUCACGCUGGGAGCUGUAGACCGGAGCUGUUCCUAUUCGGCCAUCUUGUCUCCUCCCGUGUUUUCCAGGUGUAUUCCACAUUGUCUCUACUAGUGAACUAGGAUAAUCCAUUGUGUAUCUCAACCUCCUUCACUACCCUGUGAAAGUCACAUGUGAGAAGAAGCAUCACAGAUGAUUCCAUGGAGAACAUCCUGGAAGUUCUCCAAAUGAACUGGAAAUUCCCUGUCUCCCCUUAACCAGCACUGGAAGCAGAUGGGAAGAGAAUAGCUGUGACUGACUCACACUCUAACCCAGCAACCCUCAGCAUACAAGUGGGAGACCAUAAAGUUUUUCAAGACCCCAAAAGAGGCCAAAGGUCUGAUAAUUGCUGGGAGAAGGUCCACUAUCCAAGAAGAGAAGAGGAAAAGGAAUUAAAGUCUCCAAGCACUGGGGAUGCAAGAAGAGAGUUGCACAGGAGAGAAAGAAGAAGUUGUCCACGGGGUGACCCUGCAAUUGGAGGGAAAUGCAUGUGGAUAUGUGCAGGGAGUCUAGGAAGUGAAGCCUUAGUGAUCAUUUACAAGAAUGAGGGUUAGGUAAAAUAAGGGAUGCAAAGCCACCUGUAGUCUAUUCUAACCUCACUCCAUCACUCUAUACAAUCUGUGUUUUAUCAUCUGAAAUGUUAAGUAAAGACCUGUUUGGGUCUUCUUCAGAAUCCCAUACAUUUGAGUUCAUUAGUCAGAAAAAGGGAAAAUACCACCACCCCAUCCUGGAAUGGCAGUCAUGUACACUUUUAUAAUGAGAGAUUGGGCAGCAAAGGGGGCCCCUUGUGGACCUCACCCAGCCAGAGAAGGAGGCAGAAUGUUUCCUUUACUAUCUUUUCCUCUCCCCAGAGGAACACUACAUAUUGUUCCCUCCAUGGGCUUAAGAGAAGGUGCCAGGGUUACAGAUAGAUAUAUCGCUAGCUGUAGAGCACAGGGUGAAUUGGGAUGUCCAUGUACAAAGCUAGGGACAGGAGAAUCAGUUUAAAGACUUUAAAAAUAAUUAGGAAAAAAAGGAAGGCCUGACCCAAAGCUUAGGAGUGCAGGUAGAGAAGAGAUGGUGCCAUGAUAUACCAUGUCUCUGGGACUUUUCUGUAUUCCUCUUCCUCUGUAUACUGUAUUGCCCUCAUUCCCUAUUUAUUCAAAAUCUGUGCUACCUCCACUGCGAAGACUUCCACGAGAAAAUUCAGAUAUUUCUUCUUUUGUGGACACUUUCUACCUUACAAAUAAGUUAAUUUUAAUUCAAGGAAGAGUUUUUCCGGAACCCUGUUGGCCUGCUCACAGGAAUGUAAGUUCCUUAAAUCUAGGGCACAGUGUCUUUGAGAACUGCAAUCACCUACAUCAACAUGACAUAGCUAUUAGGACUAAGAACAGAGACCACCUGUGUCAACAUGAGUUACUAUUUUUUUCCGUGAAACAUUUGUCCAAGAAAGAUAAGACUGUAACCAAUAAAUAGUUUGCAAGUAA
rnacentral:lncRNA from 1 species